rnacentral:rRNA from 1 species
UACGAAGGGGGCUAGCGUUGCUCGGAAUCACUGGGCGUAAAGCGCACGUAGGCGGAUUGCUAAGUCAGGGGUGAAAUCCUGGAGCUCAACUCCAGAACUGCCUUUGAUACUGGCGAUCUCGAGUUCGGGAGAGGUGAGUGGAACUGGCGAGUGUAGAGGUGAAAUUCGUAGAUAUUUGCAAGAACACCAGUGGCGAAGGCGGCUCACUGGCCCGGUACUGACGCUGAGGUGCGAAAGCGUGGGGAGCAAACAGGG